UAGGGAAUCUUCCGCAAUGGACGAAAGUCUGACGGAGCAACGCCGCGUGAGUGAAGAAGGAUUUCGGUUCGUAAAACUCUGUUGUUAGGGAAGAAAAAAUGUAUAGUAACUAUAUACAAAAGAGACGGUACCUAACCAGAAAGCCACGGCUAACUACGUGCCAGCAGCCGCGGUAAUACGUAGGUGGCAAGCGUUGUCCGGAAUUAUUGGGCGUAAAGCGCGCGCAGGUGGUUUAGAAAGUCUGAUGUGAAAGCCCACGGCUCAACCGUGGAGGGUCAUUGGAAACUAAUAAACUUGAGUGCAGGAGAGAAAAGUGGAAUUCCUAGUGUAGCGGUGAAAUGCGUAGAGAUUAGGAGGAACACCGGUGGCGAAAGCGGCUCUCUGGUCUGUAACUGACGCUGAGGCUCGAAAGCGUGGGGAGCGAACAGG
rnacentral:rRNA from 1 species